rnacentral:rRNA from 1 species
UACGUAGGUGUCGAGCGUUGUCCGGAUUUAUUGGGCGUAAAGAGCCCGCAGGCGGCUUGUCUAGUCCGAGGUGAAAUCUCCCGGCUCAACUGGGAGGGUGCCUCGGAAACUGGCAGGCUUGAGGCAGGGAGAGGGAUGUGGAAUUCCAGGUGUAGUGGUGAAAUGCGUAGAUAUCUGGAAGAACACCAAAGGCGAAGGCAGUGUCCUGGGUGGUCGCUGACGCUGAGAGGCGAAAGCCAGGGGAGCGAACGGG